rnacentral:rRNA from 1 species
CGUGACGGCGCGAGCAGGUGCGAAAGCAGGUCAUAGUGAUCCGGUGGUUCUGAAUGGAAGGGCCAUCGCUCAACGGAUAAAAGGUACUCCGGGGAUAACAGGCUGAUACCGCCCAAGAGUUCAUAUCGACGGCGGUGUUUGGCACCUCGAUGUCGGCUCAUCACAUCCUGGGGCUGAAGUAGGUCCCAAGGGUAUGGCUGUUCGCCAUUUAAAGUGGUACGCGAGCUGGGUUUAGAACGUCGUGAGACAGUUCGGUCCCUAUCUGCCGUGGGCGCUGGAGAACUGAGGGGGGCUGCUCCUAGUACGAGAGGACCGGAGUGGACGCAUCACUGGUGUUCGGGUUGUCAUGCCAAUGGCACUGCCCGGUAGCUAAAUGCGGAAGAGAUAAGUGCUGAAAGCAUCUAAGCACGAAACUUGCCCCGAGAUGAGUUCUCCCUGAGACUUAGAGUCUCCUGAAGGAACGUUGAAGACGACGACGUUGAUAGGCCGGGUGUGUAAGCGCAGCGAUGCGUUGAGCUAACCGGUACUAAUGAACCGUGAGGCUUAACCUU